rnacentral:sRNA from 1 species
GCUGGGCGUGGUGGCACACGCCUGUCAUCCCCGGGGCUCGGGAGGCUGAGGCAGGAGGAUCGCGAGUGCAAAGCCAGCCUCAGCAACAGUGAGGCCUUAAGCAGCUCAGUGGGACCCUGUCUCUA